GCCCCGGGCUGCGGGGCACCCGGCCGGGAUGGCGCUGCGUGCUGGGCUCCGUCGGGCAGCGACGUCUCGGUGAGCGGAGGGACAACGGUUCCGCGCGGGACUUCGUGGGGCUAAAAGCUCAGAAGUCCUCAAAACGCAGAGCGAGACGUUGUUACCCACAGAUGACGCUGUGAGGUACGCCAAGGAGAGCGCACAGGGAGAACAAAAGGACCCAGGGCUCACCCUUACCUUCAGACAGCUUUGUUUUGUUGCUUUUGAUGAAGAGGAGGAAGAAAAAAAGAGGAGGUAGUGGCCACACACCGACCUUUCACUGUCAAUACCGAAGGAGAUAUGGAGGGUAAGUCUUGUUUUUGCUCCAUGGGAAGCCAGCAACACAAGGUUCCAAGAGUGACACUAAAAUGAGCCGUGCUCUAACAAGGCCUUGUUUGCCAGAGCCAGACAAGAGCAGACUGUUAUAAAACACGGUGGAACGUUUGUUAUUGUAGUACUAGAUUUCCAAAAUCCAGUCUUUUUGUGGCUGACAAGCUCACUCUUUUCUUUGCCUCAUUACUGCAGCUGUCAGAGGUCUGCACCCCUGCCUAGAAAACAUGAGCAGCAGAUAGAAAGCAAUCCUAGCAAAAAUCUGCAUCAUUCAUGCGUAAUCAGACAAUGCUUGGGAGAUUUACAAAGGAGGGAGGGAGGAGGAGAAAACUUACAGUGCUGCAAUCAUUUACAUUAUUUCUAGUUGCUUUGCAAGUGUCACUUUUAGAUUCAAAAUGCAGUAAGUAUGAUUUUCAUAUAUAACUUUGUAAGCACUUUAGCUUGAUUGGGUUUUAAUUUGCAUCCUGCUGUGACCAAGUAACAUUUGGCAAAUAGACCAUCUGUUUAUAACACAUACCUCCAUUUUGUCUUGGUAGUACUGUAUACAUUACAUACUUUCAACUUAAAAGCAAACUCUUGUAUUGCAGCUCACUGCUCACCUCAAAGAUUCUCUCCACAGCUCAUCCUGGCUGCUUUGCUCAGCUCAGCCCACACCUAACACCCAGGAUGGCAGUGCGAUACUACUGCAGGGAAGCCACCAGGUGUAGGAGCAGGCCAUCACUGCUUCACACAUUUCUGCUCAAUGAUCAUGGAGGAAGAUACACAAGCAGCUCUUUUGAAGCACUGCAUUAUUGUAAUUUUUCUGAGUAAAGCUUUGAAUGACUGCUGACUUAAUCCAAAACACACUUUUGGGUGAUUUAGAGCCAAUCUGAUUUUGGUAUAUCACUGGCUUUCAUUCAGAGCCACCUUGUGCUCACAUUUGUGCCCUGUAGCAAGCACAGGAGCCAAGCCCCAUCAGCCAAGAUCAGAAUCCCAACUUCAUACAUUUGCACCACAUUGGUGCUCUUCCACUGACAAUGCUUAUAGUUCUGCAGUGUGCUUAACCUGUAAACAAGCCUGAUGAUCCAAACUGUGUUUUGCUGUGCUUGUUUUAGCACUUUUAGGAUCACAUACAUCAACAAGAGUAUUGCAGUUCUGUUUGCAUACAUAAGGGAAAAGGUAAAAAGCUUGAAUUCUUACCUGCCUAUCUUCAUAGGUUCCAGAAUAUUUAGGUUAGAGACAUUAGCUGUCUACUAUGCAGCAAGUUCUCUCUACAAGCACAUUUUAAGAUUUGCCCUUUUUUUUUUUUUUACUACUUCUGCUAUUUAAAAUUUCAUCUUCUCUCUUACUUGAUGACAGGAAAGUUUUGAUCUAACAGCAGAUCUAUAAUAACUUCCUUACCAACAAAGUUCACAUUGAUGGUGACUGGGUGCUUACAAAUCCAUGCAGUAAAAAAAUAAAAGGAUAUUUACAAACAUCAUAUUUAGUUCAAGGAGGAGAAAGAUCUGACUCCUAUUGCUGCAAUAAGGGUAUUUUAAUGUAAAAUCUGAAAGAAAGACUACAUACCAGCCGUUAGCAUUUUAAAUACGUUUAUUCAGCAGCUAUUACAGUCAGCCUCCAAAAAACUGGAGUCCCCUUUUGUUUCUGAACCGUGUCAAGUGACGGAAAUGCCUGCUAGGAACAUGGAAGAAGCUACGCGGUGCACUCCCUUCUGAGAAACAGACAUAUCUAAGAGGGAUUAAUCUCUUUGAAAAGGCAAAAUAUAAAUAUAUACACUCUAAA